CGGGCGAGGUUGCUUCGGUAACUGAGCUAGCGGCGGACGGGUGAGUAAUGCUUAGGAAUUUGCCUAUUAGUGGGGGACAACAUUCCGAAAGGAAUGCUAAUACCGCAUACGCCCUACGGGGGAAAGCAGGGGAUCUUCGGACCUUGCGCUAAUAGAUGAGCCUAAGUCAGAUUAGCUAGUUGGUGGGGUAAAGGCCUACCAAGGCGACGAUCUGUAGCGGGUCUGAGAGGAUGAUCCGCCACACUGGGACUGAGACACGGCCCAGACUCCUACGGGAGGCAGCAGUGGGGAAUAUUGGACAAUGGGCGCAAGCCUGAUCCAGCCAUGCCGCGUGUGUGAAGAAGGCCUUUUGGUUGUAAAGCACUUUAAGCGAGGAGGAGGCUACUUGGAUUAAUACUCUAGGAUAGUGGACGUUACUCGCAGAAUAAGCACCGGCUAACUCUGUGCCAGCAGCCGCGGUAAUACAGAGGGUGCGAGCGUUAAUCGGAUUUACUGGGCGUAAAGCGUGCGUAGGCGGCUUCUUAAGUCGGAUGUGAAAUCCCUGAGCUUAACUUAGGAAUUGCAUUCGAUACUGGGAAGCUAGAGUAUGGGAGAGGAUGGUAGAAUUCCAGGUGUAGCGGUGAAAUGCGUAGAGAUCUGGAGGAAUACCGAUGGCGAAGGCAGCCAUCUGGCCUAAUACUGACGCUGAGGUACGAAAGCAUGGGGAGCAGACAGGAUUAGAUACCC
rnacentral:rRNA from 1 species